GUCGUCCUAUGGGAGGCAGCAGUGAGGAAUAUUGGUCAAUGGGCUUACGCCUGAACCAGCCAAGUCGCGUGAGGGAAGACUGCCCUAUGGGUUGUAAACCUCUUUUGUCAGGGAGCAACGCCGGCUACGUGUAGCCGGACUGAGAGUACCUGAAGAAAAAGCAUCGGCUAACUCCGUGCCAGCAGCCGCGGUAAUACGUAGGGAGCGAGCGUUGUCCGGAAUUACUGGGCGUAAAGGGAGCGUAGGCGGGACGGCAAGUCAGAUGUGAAAACUGAGGGCUCAACCUUCAGACUGCAUUUGAAACU
rnacentral:rRNA from 1 species